UAUAAAACAGAGAGUAUAAGAGAGAGAAAUUGUAUAUAUAAAAAAAGAGUCAAGAAACUCGUUGAGUACCUCUUUUUUAAAUUUAGCACGCCAUGCUCCCUCAGCCACUCUAUUCUCACCCGUGCUUAGCUUUUCUUUUCCACUCCUACAUAGUCAAAAAAAGAAUUCAGCAAAUCUCCUAGGAUUGUUGAGCGUACUAUUCAUCAACCACGCUCAUUAAUCUCAAGAAUAUUCAACAUACAAAUCUCAAUUGUCAGCAGAAAAUCUCAUCAAUUAAAUUCUUCAACCACGCCUCAAUUUAGCCGUACUAUUCAUCAUCUUUUCACACUAAUCAGCUCUCCUUAAGUUCAGUAUAAAGCCAUCCUUAUUCACCCUCUUCAUCACAGCAACAAAUCUACUCCUUCCAUCGAGAAAUCACCAAGCAUAAUCUCCUCAUUCCCAUUCCACAAACGUUCCUAGCAAAAAGAGGAAAGACUGCACUGCUCUUCAUCAUUCUCUGCCAAAGCAUUUUCAAGUAUCAGUUCAUUCAAACAAUAACCAACCAACAAAACCAUUCAAGGUAUUUCAUGCUAUCUUAGUUCACUCUCUUCAUAUACAUAUAUCAUAUCUCAGUAGAGCAUGCUUUAUAUAUUAGAAAUGCAGUAGAUAAUGAGCAUGAUUAAUUAGUUACAUGGCACUCUGUAUUCACAAGCGAAUAGAGAAAGGAACACCAGAACUUAUAGAACAAACACAGCCUUUUACUUAGCACAACAACACCUAUAAUUCGUAGAAUAAGAGGAGAACGAAACUUGAAAAACUUAGCUUUUAUACAACGAGGGACGCGGCCUAUUCAGUCGGGCCGAGAGAUGACUAGAAAUGGAGGAGAACGAACGAGGCGGCGCCAACGUGUGCUGCCGUCUCUCGCCAUUAACCGAACAGCAACAAUAGAGCCGAGAGAUCAUGGCUCGACCCUUGCCUCCGUCAUGUCGGCACAAACGUGUGCGUGAGAGCAGUGAGCGGCGACGGCCUCCCUACAGCAGCGGCGUUCGGUGCUUGGCAGCAGAAGUCGGCCUUGGGCGAGGCAGCGGCAGCCGACGACGGUGGUGGCUGUGGGAACUCGGCAACAGCAGCCGCAACUUCAGAACAGCAGCAGUCGGCGGCCAACUCGACGAACAGCAACAGUCGGCGGAUCCUCGGUGAACAGCAACAACAGCCGCGACUCCGGGCGAGCAGCAGCAGUUCCAGGCGGCUGAGCGGGGCGGCGCGGCCGAAGGCCAAGCGCCGCUGGUCGCGGCCCAGAGCUGAACAGCAGUAGUCAGCGGCAGCAGCUCCACGCGGCGACCUCGCUGUGAGUCGCCGGAGCAACAGAAAGCGAUGCUCCUCGCCGUUGAAGAGAAGAGCCGCGGCGGCGGAAGUUCGAGGGAGGAGAUGGCUGGAUUGAGCGAGAAAGAGAGAUGGUUUCCAGCGAUGACUCGCCGGGAAGAAGGACGCCGGAAUCGAGCGAGAAAAAGAGAGAUGUGAGCAGCGUGAUUUUGAGAGAGAGAGUUGAGCAGCGUUUUUAAUUGUGAGAAUGAGAGAGAUGGUGGGUUCUGCUUUUAAAAAAAAAGAGAGAGUCUCGAUAAUUAUAUUGAGAGAAUGAAUGUUGGCUUUAAUAAAGAGAGAGAGAGAGAUAUUAAAAAUGUGUGUGCAGCGUGUGUUUUGUUAAUAAAGAGGAGAAAUUUUACUUUAAGAUAAGGAGAGAGAUGAUGUUGAGUGGUGUGAUUUGUGUUAUAAAAAAAGAGAGAAGAACCGAUAAUGUGAGGAUUAAGAGAAAAAGUGUGUUUUGCUUUAUAUAAAAAACAAAAAAGAGGGGGACCGAUGAUAGUGAAUUGUGAGAGAAAGAGGAAAAUAUUGGUAGAGAAAAAGAGAGAGAGAGGCGUGAGAGAUAAUAGUGGAAGAGAGGAGUGGGCCUUCCUCAAUUGGGCCGGGUUUGGGCCGAUUCUUUUGGGCUUGUUUUUAUUUUCCUUGGGCCUGGUUCAGUUUAUUUGUUGGGCCGGAUAUUAAUUCAUUUGGGCUUUGCUUAUUUUAAUUCAUUUGGGCUUGUUUUUAUUUCUCAAUUGGGCCUAGUUCAUUUAAUCUGUUGGGCUUUAGAAUUUAAUUGAUGUUGGGCUUAAUGUUAUUUAUGCA
rnacentral:lncRNA from 1 species